rnacentral:rRNA from 1 species
AUCAAGUCRRCGAUCUYAUUAGCUKCUUUGAGAUCAGCGCGACGGUKAKWACACGUGGCAACCUCCUKUAGACUGGAUACUUCGGAAACCGAGCUAUACCGGAUAAUCCUUCCCUCACAUGAGGAAAGCUGAAAGACGGUUUCGGCUGUCAUUACAGAUGGGCCCGCGCGCAUUAGCUAGUUGGUGAGUAACGCUCACCAAGCAACGAUGCGUAGCCGACCUGAGAGGGUGAUCGGCCACACUGGGACUGAGACACGGCCCAGACUCUACGGGAGGCAGCAGUAGGGAAUCUUCCGCAAUGGACGAAAGUCUGACGGAGCAACGCCGCGUGAACGAUGAAGGCUUUCGGGUCGUAAAGUUCUGUUGUCAGGGAAGAACAAGUAUCGGAGUAACUGCCGGUACCUUGACGGUACCUGACCAGAAAGCCACGGCUAACUACGUGCCAGCAGCCGCGGUAAUACGUAGGUGGCAAGCGUUGUCCGGAAUUAUUGGGCGUAAAGCGCGCGCAGGCGGUUCCUUAAGUCUGAUGUGAAAGCCCCCGGCUCAACCGGGGAGGGUCAUUGGAAACUGGGGAACUUGAGUGCAGAAGAGGAGAGCGGAAUUCCACGUGUAGCGGUGAAAUGCGUAGAGAUGUGGAGGAACACCAGUGGCGAAGGCGGCUCUCUGGUCUGUAACUGACGCUGAGGCGCGAAAGCGUGGGGAGCGAACAGGAUUAGAUACCCUGGUAGUCCACGCCGUAAACGAUGAGUGCUAAGUGUUAGAGGGUUUCCGCCCUUUAGUGCUGCAGCAAACGCAUUAAGCACUCCNG